AUAUAGGUGGGGACGUAAAAAGAAAAAAAAAUUCUCAUCUUCGUUUGGCACCCUGGACGAACAUUACUGGUUCUAACUUUUUUGACCAAAAAAAGGGCUGCAAACAUUAUACCAAGUUGUUUAGUGGACUGGUCACUAGCAUUUCGCUGAAGGCAACUGAGAGAACAGGAGCAAGAGGUGCAAGAGAUGUUGGUUUUGGGUUAUUUUUUCCUUUCUCAGUAUGAUCACAAGAUGCAAGAGGCUAUCAUAUUUGCACACAGGUGUGGUGCAAUAAGAAAAACGCAAAUAGGAUCUCUCCCAACAUUGCCAGAUAUAAAUCUUUGAUGCACUAGAUUGUAAAGAUGAAACGUCCAGUUGAUAUUUCCGAGUCUCUAUGUAUAUCAUCGAUACCUAUAGGGUGCUCAAAGUCUCUUUUGUAAAAAACAAAAAAACAAAAAAAAAUGUACAAGUGUUGUUCAGUAGAAUUCUUUUCAUGGACAUUUCUUGUUUUCAAGUCUAUAGUAACACAUUUGAAAUUUGUUGAUGUCAUAGAUGACAAGUAUAAGUUUAGGUUGUUUAUUGCUUCUUUGUAGAGUUGCUUCUUCGCAUUAUGAUGUCUGAACAUGCAAUUUCCGUCCAUGUAUAACUCGUUGCAUUACAAGGAAUGCUAUGCUUUAUUUGGCCUAA